rnacentral:rRNA from 1 species
GAAACUAACAAGGAUUCCCCUAGUAACUGCGAGUGAAGCGGGAAAAGCUCAAAUUUAAAAUCUGGCAGUCUUUGAUUGUCCGAGUUGUAAUCUAGAGAAGUGUUAUCCGCGCUGGACCGUGUACAAGUCUCCUGGAAUGGAGCGUCAUAGAGGGUGAGAAUCCCGUCUUUGACACGGACUGCCAGGGCUUUGUGAUGCGCUCUCAAAGAGUCGAGUUGUUUGGGAAUGCAGCUCAAAAUGGGUGGUAAAUUCCAUCUAAAGCUAAAUAUUGGCGAGAGACCGAUAGCGAACAAGUACCGUGAGGGAAAGAUGAAAAGAACUUUGGAAAGAGAGUUAAACAGUACGUGAAAUUGCUGAAAGGGAAACGCUUGAAGUCAGUCGCGUUGUCUGGGAAUCAACCUUGCUUUUGCUGGGCGUACUUUCCAGAUAAUGGGUCAGCAUCAAUUUUGAUCGUUGGAUAAAGUCGAGAGGAAUGUGGCAUCUUCGGAUGUGUUAUAGCCUUUUGUCGCAUACAACGGUUGGGAUUGAGGAACUCAGCACGCCGCAAGGCCGGGUACUUGUACCACGUUCGUGCUUAGGAUGCUGGCAUAAUGGCUUUAAUCGACCCGUCU